CCUACGGGCGGCAGCAGUAGGGAAUAUUGCACAAUGGGGGAAACCCUGAAGCAGCAACGCCGCGUGGAGGAUGAAGGUUUUCGGAUUGUAAACUCCUUUUGUUAGAGAAGAUAAUGACGGUAUCUAACGAAUAAGCACCGGCUAACUCCGUGCCAGCAGCCGCGGUAAUACGGAGGGUGCAAGCGUUACUCGGAAUCACUGGGCGUAAAGGGCGCGUAGGCGGGAUAGCAAGUCAGAUGUGAAAUCCUAUGGCUUAACCAUAGAAAUGCAUUUGAAACUGGUAGUCUAGAGUAUGGGAGAGGUAAGUGGAAUUCGUGGUGUAGGGGUGAAAGCCGUAGAGAUCAGGAGGAAUACCCAGUGCGAAGGCGACCUGCUGGAACAUAACUGACGCUGAGGCGCGAAAGCGUGGGGAGCAAACAGGAUUAGAUACCCCAGUAGUC
rnacentral:rRNA from 1 species